UAGGUGUUGAAAUAUUUCUUUUCUGAAUAGAAAGGUAGCAGCACCGAGCAUGCUGGCUUAUCUGUGUGGCUCUGGCUGGGAGUGCCCUGUGUGUCUUGACAAACGGAAGCAGCAGGUGUUUAGACAUGACAGCACAACUCUUCAUAGGACACACUUCUUUAAAUCCAGAUUAAAUACACAAUUUGAAGCCUGACCUUUCCGAGUAAUUAAAGAUUUCUACUUUAUGGUUUUUAUAGACAGUAGAGGCAAGAAGAAGCUCUUUAAUGAUUCGGGUGGAUAGUUUGUGGAGUUUUUUUUUUUUUUUUUUUUUUUGCUGCAUGGGAUUUAAAGGGACAAACGCUGACCAGAAUUCUAGAACAGUGGCCGUAGUAACUGGUGUCCAUGGAUGUGGUGGACACAGAGAUUCCCGCUUACAGGAAGGGGCAUGUUGAGAGGUACCUCAGGCAGUUUCUGGGUUACAGAGUAAGAGGCAAAUGAGCAGAAUGCUUGCUACUGAGGCUGGGCCAGGGCCCAGGGUGGCGUUGGUCAUAUGCUGGGAGGGAUGGGCGGCUGAGAUAGAAACCAGUGUCCAGUAGGGCCCUUCCCACGGGGACGUGGCAGCCUGACACUUCCUCAAGCCUGCGGUGUCCUUCCUGCCCUCCCCUUCACACCUGCCUGAGCUCAAAAGGCUGUAUUCCUCCCAUUCUGCAGAUUUGGAAAGGCCUUGUGUCUGAGGCAGUGCAUCUGGUCGGGGCCAGAGGACAUGUGCAGAACAAUGGCUUCAGAGCCACACAGGGGCAACUACGGCACACAUGAGUCACUGGGCCCCCUCCCUCGAUGUCUCGGUUUCCAUGACUGCGACUGUGACCUGAGGAUGGGCAUAACGCUUUUAUCUUCACAUUGCUCAACACAUCCCUUUUCCAGAACUAUCUUUUAGGAAAAUCAGAUUUGCUCUCUAAUGGAAAAAUACAGCUUGUAAAUGAGCUAAAGAAGAGAUAGAUAAUUUACGACAUAGUUGAAUCUGCAUACAAACUGAAAGAAAAAUGCUGAAUCAAAUGCCAGGUUGUCACCGUUUUCUUCUGAAAUUCACAUCAAGUGUUCUCAAGGAGAGAUGACCAAGCCUGGGGCUUCCAUCCCGGCUCGCAGGUCUGUUUAGUUUCUACGGUGUCCCCAGCUCCAUUGCAUCUUCUCAGGAAGUUUUCCUGACGGAAGGAUGGCUCCCAUGUCUCUCACGCCCAGAUACAUUGAUCCCUCUCCUGUCGGUGACCCUACUUGGUAGCACAUUACUUUAAACGCCCAUUACUAUUAACAUUAACGAAUGGUUAAUUACAACAGAAUUCCUAUCGAAGUGCAUAAGAGAGCCAUAUGAAUGCCAAAUGAGUACAUUAAUGAUUGGUGUUAUCACAAU
rnacentral:lncRNA from 1 species